UUUAUUUUUUCUUUUAUAAAAAUAUCUGUAUUUAUUUGAAUAAUCUUUAGCUUUUAAAGUUGUUAUCUAUCAUCUCUACGUAAUUUAUUGAUUAUCUUUUAUCAAAACAUUAUUGAGUAAUAAUUUUUUAGGGGGUUUUUUUUUUCUUAGGGCCUCGUUGCAAAGUCUAGUCCCGGGGCCGAAAAUCGUCUUAUUGCUGGCUUGUUUGCAUACAACCUAAGCGCGAACAACGUUUG